AACGAACGCUGGCGGCAGGCCUAACACAUGCAAGUCGAGCGAGGACUUCGGUCCUAGCGGCGGACGGGUGAGUAACGCGUGGGAACGUGCCCUUUGGUACGGAAUAGCCCCGGGAAACUGGGAGUAAUACCGUAUGGUGUCUUCGAACUAAAGAUUUGUCGCCAAAGGAUCGGCCCGCGUUGGAUUAGGUAGUUGGUGGGGUAAUGGCCUACCAAGCCGACGAUCCAUAGCUGGUUUGAGAGGAUGAUCAGCCACACUGGGACUGAGACACGGCCCAGACUCCUACGGGAGGCAGCAGUGGGGAAUCUUAGACAAUGGGGGCAACCCUGAUCUAGCCAUGCCGCGUGAGUGAUGAAGGCCCUAGGGUUGUAAAGCUCUUUCAGCUGGGAAGAUAAUGACGGUACCAGCAGAAGAAGCCCCGGCUAACUCCGUG
rnacentral:rRNA from 1 species